ACACACACACACACACACAGAGAGAGAGAGAGAGAGAGAGAGAGAGAGAGAGAGAUCAGAGACAGAGAACAAAGCACAUUGUACAUUGUACAUUGAGAGAAAAGUGUCCCAACGAGCAGAGAGUGAAGUCCAAUGGGUUUGGUGGUAUAGAGCAAAUUUCCUUUCAAUGAUUUUGCUUUGGUCAACUUAGACAAAGAAGAAGAGAGCUGAUUGGCCCACAGCUGUGGUAAAUGUAGCCAGAAUGGAUUUUGAACAUAUCUGAACAGCAGGGACCAGUCAGCCAGAAGAGGAUCCCUUCUGGUGGGUGUCAAAACCCACAAGACCUUUGUCUUUCAGGAAGGCUUUCCAGCAGAACUUUUCACCCUCAAAUACUCUAUGGAAAAGACACUCCUCUCUAUGCCCGAUACAUACUUAUUCAAUGAGAAUCUACCUAUGUUUUAAACAGGUGACUCUAAGAGGGCUUCAUAGUUGUGGCCGAGGCCUGAUGUCAGUCAGACAGGCUUUGAUGAGG
ensembl:lncRNA